rnacentral:rRNA from 1 species
AUUGAACGCUGGCGGCAGGCCUAACACAUGCAAGUCGAACGGUAACAGGAAACAGCUUGCUGUUUCGCUGACGAGUGGCGGACGGGUGAGUAAUGUCUGGGAAACUGCCUGAUGGAGGGGGAUAACUACUGGAAACGGUAGCUAAUACCGCAUAACGUCGCAAGACCAAAGAGGGGGACCUUCGGGCCUCUUGCCAUCGGAUGUGCCCAGAUGGGAUUAGCUAGUAGGUGGGGGAACGGCUCACCUAGGCGACGAUCCCUAGCUGGUCUGAUAGGAUGACCAGCCACACUGGAACUGAGACACGGUCCAGACUCCUACGGGAGGCAGCAGUGGGGAACAUUGAACAAUGGUCGCAAGCCUGAUGCAGCCAUGCCGCGUGUAUGAAGAAGGCCUUCGGGUUGUAAAGUACUUUCAGCGGGGAGGAAGGGAGUAAAGUUAAUACCUUUGCUCAUUGACGUUACCCGCAGAAGAAGCACCGGCUAACUCCGUGCCAGCCGCCGCAGUAA